rnacentral:lncRNA from 1 species
GUGGUAAUUCUGGAUGUUCAGCGCCGAGGUCAGCGCCUCCUUCUUCUGGUCGGCCAGCGCGCGGAACCGCUCCCACCUGCACGGCAGAGGGCUCAGGGGACGGCCGAGCCCCCCCGGAUCCCCCCGCCUACACCCUGGGACCCCCCCGGAUGCCCGAACCUGGCGUUGAGCUGCUCGCGGGUGGCGCGGAUGCUCUCCUGGUUGCGCUGGUCGGUGGCCAGCAGCUGGUCGGCGAUGCGGUUGACGGCGGCGACGCGGGACGCCAGGUUGUUCAUCUCCGGCUCCAGCGUCUCGAACCUUGGGGGGGCGACGACAAUGAACGAGGUGAGGGCCUGGUGGGCCCCGGGGAGGACAGGGGGGAGGCUCUGGGGGGCACAGGGGCCGCGCUCACCGCUGCUGCACCACCUCCAGGUCCUCCAGCUUGUCGGGGACGAGCAGGGCGUGCAGCCACUGCUCCUUCUCGCCCACCCAGAGCCCGCAGGCGUCCGCCUCGCUGCGCAUGGUGUAGAGGCUGAGGGCGUCCUGCAGCUCCUGCCGCCGCCGCUCCGUCUGCGCCGCCAGCUCCUGGUAGCGCCGCUCCAGCGCCGGCAGCCGCCCGGCGACACCGGGAGCGCCGGCAAAGGCGGGCGGCAGGGCCCCGGCUUGCUCGUGGAGGGCGGCGAUGGCCGGGAGGUGGCUGCGCACCUCCUCCUGCACCUCGCGGUGCUGCCGGGCCAGGCUGCGCGUGGAGUACUCGUCGUGGCCCAGCUCGGGGCUGGAGGCCAGGCGCAGGGCGUCCUCCAGCCAGGCCUCCACGUCGGCCGCCUCCGCCUGGAACUGGAAGAGGCCGGCGGCGUCCCGCAGGCGCCGCUCGCGCUCGGCCGCCAGCUCGCCCAGUGCCCGCCAGCGCCCCUCCACCUCCCGCACCCGCUCGCCCACCUCGCCCGCCCGCGGGUGCCCCUCGCCCGCCAGCCCCCGGCCCCGCGCCAGUGCCUGCUGCAGGGGCCCCGCGCGCCCGCUCAGCUCGUCGCGGAAGGCCGCGUGCUGGCUCAGCAGCCGCAGGGAGCUGGUGAGGUCCCGGCCCACGUCCUCGGAGGAGAGGAGCCGCUCCUGCUCCCGCAUCCAGGCCUCCUCCUCCCCGGUGUCCCAGAAGAACUUCCAGAAGCGCCGCGAUUCCUCCAGCUUGGCCCGGCGCUGCCCCGCCAGCUCCACCAGCUCCCGGUACCGCAGCUCCAGCGUGGCCACGCGCUCCCGCACCACCUCCGGCUCGCAGGGUUUGUAUCCUGCGGGCGGUCCCGUCAGCUCCCUGCUCCCCUGGGGCUCCGGCCGGGGGUCUCGGGGGUCCUGGGGGGCCGCACUCACCCUCUCCGGGCAGGGCGAAGCGCUGGGCCGCGGCGCUCACCGCCCGCACCCGCUCAGCCUGUGCCGCGAUGUCGGCCUCCACCAGCGCGUGGAUCUGCAGCAGGUCGUCCACCCCGUGCAGGUGCUUCCCGAAAUCCUGCGACUGCAGCCGGCCCUGCGGGGCAGGAGGGGGUCAAAAACACCACAGGGAGGGCCGCCACCCACCCAAUCACCCCAAAGCCCCCCCCCCCGGUACCUUCAUCUCCUCCAUCCACCCCGCCAGGUGCGCCAGGUCCUGCAGCAUCUUCUGCAGCUCGAGGUGCAGCAGCAGCCGCUCGCGGCGGGCGGCCACCAGCUGCCGCAGGAAGUCCCAGAGCCGCGCCACGUUGUUGCGGCGCGCCAGGACGCGGCGCAGGUCGUGGUAACGCUCGGCCUCCAGCUCGGCCGCCACCGCGCUCACCGCCUGCACCCGCUCGCUGUAGGCCACGAUGUCGGUCUCGAUGGCCUCGUGCUUGCGCACCGCCGCCUCCACCGCCGACAUGUCGCUGCCGAAAUUGUCCUGGAGGGGACGGAGAGGGGACGCUCCCAGGCCUGCGGGGACGGACACCGGGGUCACUUCUCCCCCCCCCAGGCACGGCGGCGGCGCCCCCUCCUCGCCAAACCUUGUUGAUGUCGGAGAUGAGCUUCCCCUCGCGCGGCACGAACACCUUCUGGUUGUUGGCGCGCAUGCGGCUCUGGAUGGUGAAGAGCAGCACCUCCAGGUUGCCCUUCUCCAUGAACCUGGGGGGGGCACAGAGGCGGCGCUCAGCCCCCCGGGGAGGGGUCCACGGCCACCUGGGGGGCACGGGUCCCAGCGGGGGGGCUCACUUGGGGGGCUUCUCCACCGUGCGGUAGGUGUUGAAGGCC